rnacentral:snRNA from 1 species
AUCGCUUCUCGGCCUUUUGGCUAAGAUCAUGUGUAGUAUCUGUUCUUAUCAGUUUAAUAUCUGAUACGUCCUCUAUCCAA